rnacentral:rRNA from 1 species
AACGAACGCUGGCGGCAUGCCUAACACAUGCAAGUCGAACGAGACCUUCGGGUCUAGUGGCGCACGUGUGCGUAACGCGUGGGAACCUACCCUUAGGUUCCGAAUAACUCCCCUAGAGGUGUGCUAAUACCGGAUAAUGUCUUCGGACCAAAGAGUUUUCGCCUUUGGAUGGGCCCGCGUUGGAUUAGCUAGUUGGUAGGGUAAAAGCCUACCAAGGCGACGUUCCAUAGCUGGUCGGAGAGGAUGAUCAGCCACACUGGGACUGCGACACGGGCCAGACUGCUACGGAAGGCAGCAGUGGGGAGUAUUGGACACUGGGCGAAAGUCUGAUCCAGCAAUGCCGCGUGAGUGAUGAAGGCCUUAGGGUUGUAAAGCUCUUUUACCCGGGAUGAUAAUGACAGUAACGGGAGAAUAAGCUCCGGCUAACUCCGUG